UGAUCUCUAGUUGGCAUAGAGACCCUCCUUUUAGGAGACUUGUGCCACUAAGAUCUAGGCUGCUUGAAGAGACGUAUGGACCCUUCUUUCAGGAGACCUAUGUCUCGAGUCAAAGCAAGCAAGGCAAGCCUUUGGGGCUCUAGUAUUAACUAUCCCCAAAGGUGUUUAUUCUUCUCGUGUAAACCAUGAUGUACGAAAAAGUUAGUUGUUAACUUAAAAACAACUCUUGGCAAUGGAUCUCUUGGUUCUCGCAUCGAUGAAGAGCGUAGCAAAGUGCGAUAAUUAUUGCGACUUGCAUUCAUAGCGAAUCAUCGAGUUCUCGAACGCAUCUUGCGCCUAGUAGUCAAUCUACUAGGCACAGUUGUUUCAGUAUCUGCAACUACCAAUCAGUUCAACUUGGUUCUUUGAACCUAAGCGAGCUGGAAAUGGGCUUGUGUUGAUGGCAUUCAGUUGCUGUCAUGGCCUUAAAUACAUUUAGUCCUAGGCAAUUGGCUUUAGUCAUUUGCCGGAUGUAGACUCUAGAGUGCCUGAAGAGCAACGACUUGGUUAGUGAGUUCAUAAUUCCAAGUCAAUCAGUCUCUUCUUGAACUAGGUCUUAAUCUUUACGGACUAGUGAGAGGAUCUAACUUGGGUCUU
rnacentral:rRNA from 1 species